ensembl:rRNA 5S_rRNA 5S ribosomal RNA
GUCUACAGCCAUCCCUCUUUGAAUGUACCCAAUCUCAUCUGGUCUUGAAAGAUAAGCAUGGCUGGGCCUGACUAGUACUAAGAAAGGAGAUAGAUUUGAAUAGAGAGUAAAAGUUUUCUAGAGG